GUGGUAUCCUGUCUGAAUAUGGGGGGACCAUCCUCCAAGGCUAAAUACUCCUGACUGACCGAUAGUGAACCAGUACCGUGAGGGAAAGGCGAAAAGAACCCCGGCGAGGGGAGUGAAAAAGAACCUGAAACCGUGUACGUACAAGCAGUGGGAGCACCCUUCGGGGUGUGACUGCGUACCUUUUGUAUAAUGGGUCAGCGACUUAUAUUCUGUAGCAAGGUUAACCGAAUAGGGGAGCCGGAGGGAAACCGAGUCUUAACCGGGCGUUAAGUUGCAGGGUAUAGACCCGAAACCCGGUGAUCUAGCCAUGGGCAGGUUGAAGGUUGGGUAACACUAACUGGAGGACCGAACCGACUAAUGUUGAAAAAUUAGCGGAUGACCUGUGGCUGGGGGUGAAAGGCCAAUCAAACCGGGAGAUAGCUGGUUCUCCCCGAAAGCUAUUUAGGUAGCGCCUCGUGAAUUCAUCUCCGGGGGUAGAGCACUGUUUCGGCUAGGGGGCCAUCCCGGCUUACCAACCCGAUGCAAACUGCGAAUACCGGAGAAUGUUAUCACGGGAGACACACGGCGGGUGCUAACGUCCGUCGUGAAGAGGGAAACAACCCAGACCGCCAGCUAAGGUCCCAAAGUCAUGGUUAAGUGGGAAACGAUGUGGGAAGGCCCAGACAGCCAGGAUGUUGGCUUAGAAGCAGCCAUCAUUUAAAGAAAGCGUAAUAGCUCACUGGUCGAGUCGGCCUGCGCGGAAGAUGUAACGGGGCUAAACCAUGCACCGAAGCUGCGGCAGCGAACGUAUCACUUAAAGCGAUUCAGCGGGUUACGAUUGACGGAGCGAAGCGACGUCAAAGCGUAUACAAAGUCGAGUCGGUUUAAGGAUACGUUCGUUGGGUAGGGGAGCGUUCUGUAAGCCUGUGAAGGUGUGUCGUGAGGCAUGCUGGAGGUAUCAGAAGUGCGAAUGCUGACAUAAGUAACGAUAAAGCGGGUGAAAAGCCCGCUCGCCGGAAGACCAAGGGUUCCUGUCCAACGUUAAUCGGGGCAGGGUGAGUCGACCCCUAAGGCGAGGCCGAAAGGCGUAGUCGAUGGGAAACGGGUUAAUAUUCCCGUACUUGGUGUUACUGCGAAGGGGGGACGGAGAAGGCUAUGUUGGCCGGGCGACGGUUGUCCCGGUUUAAGCGUGUAGGUGUGUGUUCCAGGUAAAUCCGGUUCACUUUAACACUGAGGCGUGACGACGAGGCACUACGGUGCUGAAGCAACAAAUGCCCUGCUUCCAGGAAAAGCCUCUAAGCAUCAGGUAACAUCAAAUCGUACCCCAAACCGACACAGGUGGUCAGGUAGAGAAUACCAAGGCGCUUGAGAGAACUCGGGUGAAGGAACUAGGCAAAAUGGUGCCGUAACUUCGGGAGAAGGCACGCUGACACGUAGGUGAAGUGAUUUACUCAUGGAGCUGAAGUCAGUCGAAGAUACCAGCUGGCUGCAACUGUUUAUUAAAAACACAGCACUGUGCAAACACGAAAGUGGACGUAUACGGUGUGACGCCUGCCCGGUGCCGGAAGGUUAAUUGAUGGGGUCAGCGCAAGCGAAGCUCCUGAUCGAAGCCCCGGUAAACGGCGGCCGUAACUAUAACGGUCCUAAGGUAGCGAAAUUCCUUGUCGGGUAAGUUCCGACCUGCACGAAUGGCGUAAUGAUGGCCAGGCUGUCUCCACCCGAGACUCAGUGAAAUUGAACUCGCUGUGAAGAUGCAGUGUACCCGCGGCAAGACGGAAAGACCCCGUGAACCUUUACUAUAGCUUGACACUGAACAUUGAGCCUUGAUGUGUAG
rnacentral:rRNA from 1 species